GUUUUUACAUAAAUAUGUGUUACACUGAAUGACCAUGUGUCACAGACACGCCAGGCUCCAACCCCUUCCAAUCACAGCGCACUCCCUCACCUGAGUACUGAUCACACACACCUGCCCCUCGUCAGCACCCCAAUCUACUAGCACUUAAAAGACACUCACACACAGUCACUGUCCGGUCUUGUUUGCAUCUAGGACUUACCUACCUGCCAACUUCAAGGACUUCCAUUGCUAUACUUACCCAUCUCCAGUGAUUCCCAGUUAUCGCCUGUGUCGAGUGUGUGUGUCUCCAACCCUCAAUGUCUCCACUCCUCUGCUACCUCUAGAACCUUCAAUCCACUUCAAGACAAGGACAGUAUCAGUUUACUCACACUCCUCAGUUACUGUUAUCACCACUGUUUACUCACCUGUGUACCAUACCUCCUCUGCUUGUGUCAAUAAAUACCACCUAUCUGUGAUCUUCUGUCUCCGACCCAUCUGUACUGUAACAGAAGACCGGACCAAAACAGACUGACACAAGCAUGAGCCAUCCAGACCCCUUUCAGGACCUUGUAGACGCCUUGUGUCGAACACUCAACGUCCCUCCAUCACCUUCACCACCAGCGGGCACUUCCGGUAACGACACCAUCACUUCUUCACCUUCUGUGCCUUCCAGUCCCAUGGCCAAACCAGCACCCAUCUCUGGUUCGAUGGAGAAAUGCAGUGGAUUUCUCCUGCAAUGCUCGCUGGUCCUGGAGAUGCAGCCGCACUUAUAUCCCACCGAGAAAUCCAAAGUGGCAUUCAUCAUUUCACAGUUAAAAGUUUAGAACUCUCGCGGCCACAAGUGGGUGGAAUCAACAAGCUUUACUGACUACCUAUCAACAAGAAUUUGGACCCCCGAGUGCGGUUGCAUCUCGCUGCAUACGAGGAUACCAUCGGGCUUGAAUGUUUCAUCCAACUCUCCAUACGCUUCGCCACUCGUAUGCAGUCGUGUCUCGAAGAGCACCAGGGCCAUCCUCAGCACAACAUCUCCCUCUGCCGACCAGAACCCAUCAGCCCUCCAGAACCAGCCCACGAACCCAUGCAAAUGGACUCUACCCGCCUGACUGUGGCUGAACGGCAGAGAAGGCUGACCCAGAAUCUGUGCAUAUACUGCGGAUCUCCGGGGCAUAUCCUCUCCACAUGCCCCAUACACCCUCCUCGUUCUCUGUCAAUGCACUCCUCGAUUCUGGGUUAGCCGGCAACUUCGUCUCUGGCUCCCUCUGCCGUCAGCUCAGCCUCUGACCACGGCCACGCAAUCCUCCUGGCCGUAUGGCCUGGUCAACGCCCCCUCCGUAUUCCAGGACUUCAUCCACGAGGUUCUCCGGGAAUUUCUCCACAAAUUCGUCCUGGUCUACAUAGAUGACAUCCUGAUUUACUCCCGGAGCUUGACAGAACAUCGUCACCACAUUGCGGAGGUUCUGAAACGCCUGAGGGAAUCUCAACUUUACCUGAAAGCGGAAAAGUGCUCCAUCAGCCCUCAGUGCAGUUCCUUGGAUACAACAUCGACACCAGUGGCAUCCGGAUGGACGAGGGGAAGGUGGAUGCCAUCAGGAACUGGCCAACACCCACUACCGUCAAAGAACUCCAAAGAUUCUUCGGCUUCUCCAAUUUCUACCGCCGCUUCAUCCAGAAUUAUAGCUCCAUCACCAGUCCACUUACAAGCCUUCUCCGAAAUAAGCCCAAGUCUCUGUCCUGGACCCCAUCGGCCACAGAGGCCUUCGCUACCCUCAAGGAAGCCUUCACUACCUCUCCUCUCCUGGUUCAUCCUGACCCCGACAAGCCGUUCAUAGUGGAAGUUAACCCUCUGGAGUCUAAGGGUAUUUUUGGGGCCUGGAGAAAUUUUGUCAUGCCCUGACAUUUGUGCUUUUUUCAGUUUCUUAUAAAUAUCUAAAUGGCUAAAGUCUAAUCUCACUGUAAUCAGCACAAACUGGGCUAUAAUAUGUGAGCAGCAUGUAUGUAAAUGAUUGUGUUUUUGAGAAAAAUGUUAUGCGUGGUUGGUUAGUGGAAAAACUAAAAAUGUUAAAUCACUUGAAUAAGGCAAUAAAACACAUACAGAAAAUUGGUUCCCGGGACUUUUGAGAACUGGAGCUUGUAGCCUAGAAUUUUCUUUUCUAAAUGAUGUGAAAAUCAUCUUGUUUACUCACUUACAGAAAACAACAUUGAUUUAAAUUUUCUAAGACACUUUUUGUUGGUAAAAGUCAUAUGCGAGUAGACAUCAACUAUCAUGAAUUCACACCCAAGAAGACAAAGGCCUGCAUAAUGAGCCAUUCAGUCAGCUGUGUCACUGAGAGGGAUGAGUUACAAGAAAGAAUGUGAGGAC
ensembl:lncRNA